CUUAUCCCUGGGUCCCCAGAUCCGGAGAAAUCAGAUCAGGAGGGCUGGUGAGACUCAGGAGGCUGCAUUUUAACGAGCCUCUAAGGCUCUGAUGCAGGUGUUCUCUGGCCACCUCUACGGAAACACCAUCUUGUUCAGCGCUUUGCAAACUGCCCGUUGUGACUCGUCAGUGAGUUGUGAGAUCAAGUGAUUCAGUUGGGACCGGCAUAUUUAAAAGAAUAAGUAGAAGAGAACAGAAAGAAAUAGGAGGAGAGUGGAAGAGAGGAGGAGAGGAGGGAAGUAUCAGAGUGUAUCACAUGUGGUGAUGGUAAGUGUUGUCCCGUGUAACUUGGUUUCAGUGUGUGUGUGCGUGUGCGUGUGUGCUGGGCCCCUUCACAGAAUCUACUGUGCAGGUCAUGGGAAGUAUCAGAGUGUAUCACAUGUGGUGAUGGUAAGUGUUGUCCCGUGUAAGUUGGUUUCAGUGUGCGUGUGUGCGUGUGCGUGUGCUGGGCCCCUUCACAGAAUCUACUGUGCAGGCCAUGGGAAGGCAGUGGGAAGGCUGGCCUAGAGCACCCACUCCUGUAGGCUGGGAGGACCAGCAUCAGGCAGGCAGUUGUCCUGAUGUCGGCCGGCUCUCAUUCUGUAUGGAAACCUGCCUUCCUCUUGUAUCCAUUUUCCCUGCUGUGCCCUCCAUCAGAGCAAUGAAUGGCUCCACUCCCUCCUUCCACGGCUCCUCAGAACUUUGAGAAGGGGCAGCAUCCUGGAUGGGGUGGGCUGGUGUUCUAAUUGCAGCUGCCUAAUCAGCUGUAGCUGGCGUUGCAGAUGGUCAGUGUCGGGAGCUCUGACGUGCACCAGUAGCUCCUGGAGGGGUGGGGCCGGGCAGGGGAGGAAACCCAAAGUCCGCUGAGCCCCAGCUUCGAGACUGCAGGGAGGGACAGGGGAGGCAGGAGGGGGCGGCGGGGAUUCCAUCCCUGCUCACCAGUUGCCUUGUUUGGUCUUGUUUUCGGCAUCUGCCUGUGUGGUGCUGCCUGUCUCCUGCAGAGGCCCACACUCACACCUCAGCUCCUUUGUUCUUCAGACUGAACGUUCUGAGUUUCUUCCAUUGUUUUUAAUGAUGUAGUUCUCAGUCACUGUUCCGGUUGGCUUACUCGACACUCUCUGAUGUCUUCUGGUGAUGCUGGGGUCCAAGUACCAGGUUUUCUCCUGCCCUGUGGUAAACCUACAUGGACCAACAACCAACCAGCUACGGCAGAGCAGUCGAUGCCAGUGGGAGAACCAGGCUCUCUGACCUGGGAAACCGAUCGGACUCCAGCUCUGUCCUCUCCCCCUGGCGGUGUGGGUGCAUGGUGUGGGUGAGCCUGGGAUCCCUAGGGUCUGUGCAUGUGACCGUGUGUCAUACGUGCAUACAACCCUCAGUCCUCCUCCUUCCAGCCAGGGGUCAGCUGUAAAACCCUCUCCCCUAGGUUUCCUUCAAGCUCCAGCCACCCUUUACUUAUAUGUCUGUGCUCCGAGUCUGUCUGUAGUGUUCAUCUUCACGGGACUUCAUUGGCAUAAAAACACGACAGAACGAUAAACGGACAACAAACAUCUGAAAAACGGUAUAACUUCACCAAUAAUUAAAGUAAUUUUGAUUAAAAAUAGUAAGAUAC
ensembl:lncRNA